GGAUAACCGCUGAAAGCAUCUAAGCGGGAAGCCCCUCCCAAGAUUAGUUCUCCCUGACCCCUUGAGGGUCCUGAAGGGCCGUUGAAGACUACAACGUUGAUAGGCUGGGUGUGGAAGCGCUGUGAGGCGUUGAGCUAACCAGUACUAAUUGCUCGUGAGGCUUGACU
rnacentral:rRNA from 11 species